AGCUCCUGGUGUUGAGAGGGCCUCGAGAGAUUGACAGAAGAGAGUGAGCACACGGCGUGAUGUCCGGCAUAUGUAUGCCGUCGUCGCCGCGUGCUCACUCCUCUUUCUGUCAGCCUCUUUCUCUCCGGAGUUUAUCUUGCAUCCAG